rnacentral:lncRNA from 1 species
AGUGAGUAGUGGGGCCAGGUAGGAAAACUAAGCAGACUGGCUCCAGAUUCCCUGCUCUCAACACUCUGCUCAGCUUUCUCCUGCUCCUCCUCCACAUCAUCUCCAAGACUGAAGGCGACGGGUCAGGCAGGCUUCUCCGGAUCCUGUGCUCUCCUGUGAGUUAAGCUCACAUCUUUCAGAGCGACCACAUGGAGAGAAAGAAUGGGAGACUGUCAGACAGCAGCAUCUUGAAAUAACCUUUCCCAUCAAUGAGAUGCAGAGGUGUCAGCCAGAUAGAGCUCUGUUGACCCAGGUUCAACCAGAAGGCAAUGGCACCCCACUCCAGUACUCUUGCCUGGAAAAUCCCAUGGACCAAGGAGCCUGGUGGGCUGCAGUCCAUGGGGUCGCGAAGAGUCGGACACAACUGAGCGACUUCCCUUUCACUCUUUACUUUCAUGCAUUGGAGAAGGAAAUGGCGACCCACUCCAGUGUUCUUGCCUGGAGAAUCCCAGGGACGGUGGAGCCUGGUGGGCUGCCGUCUAUGGGGUCGCACAGAGUCGGACACCACUGA